GACGAACGCUGGCGGCGUGCUUAACACAUGCAAGUCGAACGGUAAGGCCCUUCGGGGUACACGAGUGGCGAACGGGUGAGUAACACGUGGGUGAUCUGCCCUGCACUUCGGGAUAAGCCUGGGAAACUGGGUCUAAUACCGGAUAGGACCUCUGCCUACAUGGGUGGUGGUGGCAAGCUUUUGCGGUGUGGGAUGGGCCCGCGGCCUAUCAGCUUGUUGGUGGGGUGAUGGCCUACCAAGGCGACGACGGGUAGCCGGCCUGAGAGGUGUGACCGGCCACACUGGGACUGAGAUACGGCCCAGACUCCUACGGGAGGCAGCAGUGGGGAAUAUUGCACAAUGGGCGCAAGCCUGAUGCAGCGACGCCGCGUGAGGGAUGACGGCCUUCGGGUUGUAAACCUCUUUCAGCACCGACGAAGCGCAAGUGACGGUAGGUGCAGAAGAAGGACCGGCCAACUACGUGCCAGCAGCCGCAGUAA
rnacentral:rRNA from 1 species